AAAUCUACCCAGGCUUGUGUUCAUGAUGCACAUCAUAUGUACCAGGGACAUUUAUGUCACAUAUCAAAAUCAAUCAGGACAAAAGGAAGGUAAAAAAAUAAUAUUUAAAAAAAUAAACCAAUUCCCUUAUGCUGCUAAGUUUGACUUUAAUACAAUCUGUCUCAGCCAAACGGGUGAGGCACACACCUCACUAAAAUAAGGAAAUAUUUACAACCAGGAUGGAAGCAUGUGUGGCUAUACCUUUUGGGAAACAAAGGAGAUAGGUGUGGGUAAAAAUUAUUUCAUGCUCAGGCCCUAAUUCAUAUAAUACCACCACACUGAAGACUCAGGUACUUCUCCUUUGCAGCUCCAAGCUGGGUUGUAUCUGCCAACUCUUCCUCUUCCCCAGCCAAUAUGUUGUAACCUCAGGUAAAGACUUCAGUUUUAAUUUGUUCAAAUGUUUAAUUGUUUUAAUUCGGAAAGUUGGACAAUAAACCAAUUCCCCUUGUUUCUAAAGAUUUAUUGCUUUUUCCAAUUUAUUGAACGUUCAGCGCAGGCUGUAUUUCAAUUAAAGGCAGCAAAACUGUUAAUGGUCUAUUAACGACACAUUGCAUCUAUAUAAAGACGCAAAUAUAAGUCGCGGCCAAUUUUCUGGCCCGGUGAGAUAAUUUCUUCUUUUCCCCGUUGCGAAUUAUCUGCGAACAACUCAUCAUUUUAUACCAGCCCAUACAUCUGGCUACCGCUUAAACGCAAGUAUCUGCAGCGCACGAACUGCCCGCGGUGCCAUCCCUCGCACAGACGGUUUGUCACCCAGCAAAGCGGCUUCCAGCCUUCGGGCCGGGGCUGGGCGGCGGCCGGGAGCGCGGAGGCUGUGGGAGCAGGGUGGAGGGCGCUGGGCAGUGCUGGGCAGGGUGCUCGGCAGUGCUGGUCCCUCUCAGGCCAGUGCUGGGCAGGCUCUGGGCAGUGCUGCUCCCUCUCAGGCCGGUGCUGGGCAGCGCCGGUCCCUCUCAGGCCGGUGCUGGGCACCGCUGGUCCCUCUCAGGCCGGUGCUGGGCAGGCUCUGGGCAGUGCUGCUCCCUCUCAGGCCGGUGCUGGGCACCGCUGGUCCCUCUCAGGCCGGUUCUGGGCAGCGCUGGUCCCUCUCAGGCCGGUGCUGGGCAGGCUCUGGGCAGCGCUGGUCCCUCUCAGGCCGGUGCUGGGCAGUGCUGCUCCCUCUCAGGCCGGUUCUGGGCAGCGCUGGUCCCUCUCAGGCCGGUGCUGGGCAGCGCUGGUCCCUCUCAGGCCGGUGCUGGGCAGGCUCUGGGCACCGCUGGUCCCUCUCAGGCCGGCGCUCGUUCGCGGCAUCCCCGAGUGAUGCUCCAGCCGUUGCCACGGUAACCGCCCCCCUCAUCCCGCGCAGCUCGGUCCCACGUGACCCGCGGCGGCGCUCGCGGCCAGCCCGCCUGUUACCAGGGCGGGGGCGCGCGGGGGGGCGCUCUUGUUUGCCAUUGGCUGCUGCCGCCGCUCGCUGAUUGGCGGGGGGCGGACGGGCCCGCGCCGAUUGGCGGGGCGCGGAGGUGAGGCUGUGGGGUGAUGCCGGCCGCCCCGCGCAGCGCCGGCACACAGACAAAGGCUGCCCGGAGGCUGCCCGAGCUCCCCCCGUGCUUCCCCGGGGCUGGCGCGGCGCGGGAGGCCCCGGGUGAGCCGCGGCUCUUGGGAGGUGGCAACGUGAGUCUGGCCGGGCCCCCGCAGCCCCGCGGCCUCCCCGCGCGGCCGCUCCAACUGGCGCUGGGGCACGCGGCGCGCGGGGAGGGGCGGAGCCGCUGUCACGCUCGCCGCGCGCCCGGCAGCCAAUGGGCGCGCCGGGAGAACGCGGACUGCACGCGGGGCCCGCGUGUCCCCGCGGCGCGGGCUGUCAAUCACCGCCAGGCACUCGCCCCGCCCACCCGGCGCUGCUGCCUCACGGCGGCCCCCGCCCGGGGCGGCCCCGCGCUGCGAGCGCUCUGCGCCCGCCGCUGCCCCGUCCCCGCGUUGAAGGGCUCCCCGGGGCUCAGCCCCGCAGUCCGCAAGCCGCGCGGCCCGGCCCCCGCGGGAUGCCCGCGGUGCGGGCUCCGCUCCCCGCGCCCUCCCCCGGCGGGGCCCGAUAGGCGGAGCCGCCGUGGCCGCCGCCCGCCGCCUUUAUCUGGCGUGGCGGCGCGGGGGGUGGCACUGGGGAACACCUUGGUGUAAGAUACGCCGUAUAAAUUCGGCGCCGGGGAUGGGAGCGCGGCCACGGGCGGCGGGGAGCAGCUGCGGAGCACGCAGGACUCUGGUCGCCAGCAGCCGCUGAGCCCAGCCCGCGGAGGAGGGCGGCCGGUGCCGCUAGCGCCGAGGAGCGGGAAGGGAAGAGGAGCCCCGCGCGCCGCUGAGCACGCCUGCCCGGCCGCCAG